rnacentral:rRNA from 1 species
UACGAAGGGUGCAAACGUUGCUCGGAAUUAUUGGGCGUAAAGCGCACGUAGGCGGCUUAGCAAGUCGGAUGUGAAAUCCCUCGGCUUAACCAAGGAAGUGCAUCCGAUACUGCCGUGCUUGAGGACUGGAGAGGAGACUGGAAUUUACGGUGUAGCGGUGAAAUGCGUAGAUAUCGUAAGGAAGACCAGUGGCGAAGGCGGGUCUCUGGACAGUUCCUGACGCUGAGGCACGAAGGCCAGGGGAGCAAACGGG